CCGAGUUUGCUUCCCACUUAUGAGAUUUACUAUGUCAUGUUAGGCAAAUUACUUAACCCUUCUGGGAUUCAUUCCUCCUUUUGUAAAACGGGAGACAUCGAGGAAAAUGCAAAUACACAAAAUAAAUACAAGUAAUUUGGAGAAGGAAGGCAGCACUAGCAGCUUGAAGGAUCUGGAAAAUUCUUGAGAUGGGCUUUGAUGGAAACUUAGAAGGAAUGGGGGAGCAGAAAUGAGGAGGUAGUGCAUUCCAGGUAUGAGAAAUGAAUGGGCAUUUGGUUUGCACAGUUAAAAUUAAAUUGGAGAAAUGAAACAAAUUUGAAAACUGAAACCCACAAGGACAUCAAGAAAUAAUCAAGGGUGGAAGUUAUCUUCCCCCAAAAGAAUGUAAGCUCCUUGGGAACUUGGACUAAUUUUUAUAAUGAGGGAUGGUGGCCUGAGAUAUGAAAUAAAAAAAAAAAUUGUUCUUUCUUCUUAACCUUCCUCUGUUACCUUCCCCCUUCUAAAAUGUAAGCUCCUUGGAAACAGGGACUAUGUAAGAAGGGAUAGAGAUUCAUGUCAUUUAACUUCUGUAACAUCCAAUUAAUGGGGAAUCGGAGGAGGGACUUGUGCUUCAAGAUAGGAAAUAAAAUGCAACUUUGGGACUUUCAAAGGUGUGUCUAGUCACCUAGGCACUCAUUCUCACAAGAAUGUAAAAUAAAUUUUUCCUGCAUUCA